rnacentral:rRNA from 1 species
CACAUGAGUGGCAAGCAUUAUCCGUCAUAAUUGGGCGUAAAGGAUGCGUAGACGGUUAAAGUAGUUACACUAAACUCUAACAGGUGAUUGGGGUAAUAGUAUAAAACCUUUAUACUUGAGUUCUUUAGAAGUACGUAAUACUAUUAAAUUAGGGAUAGAAUACGUCGAAUUUAUCGGGGUUUUCAUAGACGAAAGUGACGUACUAUAUUGAACUGACGUUGAUGCAUGAAAGUGUAGUUAACAAAUAGGAGUUGUUUCCCUAGUAGUCUACACAGUAAACGAUGAAUAUUAAGUUUGUAUUAAAUUUAAGCUAACGCGUAAAUAUUCCGCCUGGGGAGUACAAUCGCAAGGUUGAAACUUAACAGAAUUGGCGGGAAUUUGUUCAAACGGUGGAACAUGUGGUUUAAUGCGAUGAUCCACGCAAAAUCUUACCAGCACUUGUAUAUUUAUUGUUAAGUGUAAAUAAUACUUUAUAAUUUUUACAAUAAACAUAAGGUACUGCAUGGCUGUCGUCAGUUCGUGCUUUGAGGUGUAGAAUUAAGUUUCUUAACGAGCGCAACCCAGUGAAUUAGUAUUAAUUUGUAAAUCUUAACAAUAAGUUGGUUUUUGAAUUUGCUAAUUUAAGAUUCUAUUAUUCAACUUGUUAACAAGUGUUAACAAAAAAAAAUAGAAUGGGAGAGGGGCUGAAGUCAAGUCAUUAUGGUCUGCAUGUGCUGGGCUACACACGUGUUACAAAGAUGGAGACAAAGAGUCACAAAAGUGUAAAUUGGAGUGAAUCUCAAAAAACCAUCUCAGUUCGGAUUGUUUUCUGAAAUUCGAAAGCAUGAAGCUGAAAUCGUUAGUAAUCGUAAAUUAGUAAGUUACGGUGAAUGUUAUGUCAAAUUCUGCACACACCGCCCAUCACGCUCGGAGAAGCUAUUCAGCAUAAGUCCUUUAAAUCGUUCAGACUCUAAAAUUAAAUUAAAAUUGUUUUUGAAUCUGAGUCGAGUCUUCCUUGUGGAGAUAUUCUCGUUUAUUUUUAAAAAAUAAGCAGUGGAAGGUUUUUACCGGCGAAAACUGGGUAGCUGAUUUGAGUGAAGUUG